rnacentral:rRNA from 1 species
GACGAACGCUGGCGGCGUGCCUAAUACAUGCAAGUAGAACGCACAGUUUAUACCGUAGCUUGCUACACCAUAGACUGUGAGUUGCGAACGGGUGAGUAACGCGUAGGUAACCUGCCUGGUAGCGGGGGAUAACUAUUGGAAACGAUAGCUAAUACCGCAUAAUAUUGAUUAUUGCAUGAUAAUUGAUUGAAAGAUGCUAUUGCAUCACUACCAGAUGGACCUGCGUUGUAUUAGCUAGUAGGUGAGGUAACGGCUCACCUAGGCGACGAUACAUAGCCGACCUGGGAGGGUGAUCGGCCACACUGGGACUGAGACACGGCCCAGACUCCUACGGGAGGCAGCAGUAGGGAAUCUUCGGCAAUGGACGAAAGUCUGACCGAGCAACGCCGCGUGAGUGAAGAAGGUUUUCGGAUCGUAAAGCUCUGUUGUAAGUGAAGAACGGGUGUGAGAGUGGAAAGUUCACACUGUGACGGUAUCUUACCAGAAAGGGACGGCUAACUACGUG